rnacentral:lncRNA from 1 species
CAUCACAGUCCCAAGUAUAACACAAGAAAUUCUCCAAGUUUCCAAGAAGGGAAGAUGGAGUGGAGGGUGCUCACCCUAUCUCCAGUGGACAGCCCCUGGGCUACUCCUCUCCAGGUGAGAAAAUUCUCACUUCAGCCAAGUGCAGAAUGGUCCCCUUUAUUUUCUUGGGUAUCAUUGGAGAACAAGUUCCUUCAUAUGGAAUCUCCCUGUGUUGCUCAGGCUGGUCUCGAACUCCUGAGCCCAAGCGUGCAUCAGCCUCCCGGUAGCUGUGAUUACAGGCAUGAGUCACCACUCCUGAGAAAUAAUAGGACUUUGGUGCUAUUCUCCAAGCUGAAAGCCAUCCUCUUUGGCCCUGAGGACACAGCUUUUUCUGCCAUAACUCAUUGUCUCCACUGGCUCAAUUAGCCAAUUAGUGGCAUGGUAGAGGGCUGAGAUGUUACUUUUCAGUUUCCAAUAAAUUCUCAAGUUGGUUUCAA